AGCACAUGCAGGUAUUUUUGCGGAGGGUCACAACAUGAUUGUUGGGAAAAUGGGAUGGUUGCCAGAACAUCAGUCUGUGAUGGAUGCCAUAUUGCAUUACUCUUCAAAUGGUGGAAUACAGUUUGGGAUUCCUCAGACCUGCUUAACAUGGUUCAAGCUGGAACUUACAGCUGCUUAACGUUUUAGCUGUCUGGAUCCAUGGUUAUGGUUAAUGGUUUCCUGGGUGAAGAGUCCCAUACUGAAACUUGUGGAUAUUGUGGAACAUGCUGCUGAGACCCAUUUGGAUUAUACUGCCAUCUGACACCAAGGUUCUGCAGCUGAUGAAAGGAGCUUACCAGAUCUUUUUUAUGUGGUUGCUGAAGCAUUGCCCUGGGACAGCAGUAAUGAUGGAUGGAGGAACAGAACACAUUUCAGCUGUCAGCAGAUUUCAAGGUAUGUGUCUCUGUGUUUGAA
rnacentral:lncRNA from 1 species